AACCCUGAAACUUUAAGGUCAUUCCCAUUCUACCAACAAAGUAGGGCAGCCUGCACUGAGAGCAGCAGGAUUCCUGUCUAAUGUUGGACACCGACACCACAGAAUCCAAAGAAUCUGCCACCUGGACUGCAGAAUACUAUUUGGGAUCAGAUGUCACUACUUUACACUGAGAUUAAAAAGGAGAACAAUUUUCCUUUGGCAGAAGGCCCGGGCUGUGACUUUCCUCUGAAACUACCCAGGAAGCUCCAGUUAGACAGACGUCUACUGUAUUCUGCUUUUUAUCUCACUGCAGCACAGCUGUUCAAACAUUUGGGGGUGUAAAAAAACAGAAGGUCACAUGACUGAAGCCCGUGUAUCAAUGUGUGCUCAGCAGUUUGAAAGUGAAUAAAUCAUGAUAUAUCUUACCUUUCUGGGGAGGGGCCGUUACCUCCCCCAAAAGUGUCCUGAGAUGGGCCUCUCUGGGAGUCAGCAGAACCUCUUUUUCUUGCGUCAGAUGAAAGGGCCUCCGAUGGCGUGGAGCACCAGCUCCUCUGCUCUCCUACCAGAGUGUUGUCACUCUGAUCUGACACUAUUCCUGCACACAACGAAUGCUUUUACAGACUGAGACGACUUUAUUGGUAUAAAAACAAAGAUGGCUUUUAAUGAAGAUGGAGUUCUCACUUCUUUGUUUGGUGGGGUGCCUUGAAGGUGAAGAGGCAGAUGCUGAACCGGAGGAGCGAUGGGGGGAGUGAGCAGCAGAACCUCCCACACCUCUGUCAUACGGACCUGGCUGAGUUGGAUCCUCUCUUCAUCUGGUCACUGGCUUUGCUGCUUUGCGAUGAAACAAAGUCCUCCUCAUAAACUGCAGGACUUCCACGGCCGUUAUCAGAAUGCAAAGGACUGGCGUGGGGAGACUUUGGCUCCACAUUCCUCUCGUUCACUGCAAAGUAAAGUGGGAAAAAUAAUUCAUGAUCAAUGGUUAAAGUUUCAGAUUUUUGCAUUUAUGUUUGUUUUAAGCACUGGAAUUCCUUAGUUAUGCUUCAUAGACAAGAAUAGUGCCGGAUGAUCAUUCAGGGUCAACAUGAUAUUUCAAUAGGAAACAUUUAUCUGAGCACCUAUGGGGCUCUUGGAGUAGAGAUUAGGUAAGGUUUGCCUUUGUUGGAAAAGGCUACAAAAGCCCAACAUUUAAUUUUAGAAACUGGAUCUACUCCCUCAAAAAAGCUAAAAUAUAUUCACCGCUGUUGAGAUUGCUUAAAGAAAUACUGGGGUCUCAGCAGAAAAUAGAUUAUAUGAGCUAUAUGGGUAAGAUGAUGUUUUCUUUUGCUUCUUCUCAAAUGUGAGCCCUUAAACGUGAAAAUGAGACUGGUUCCUCAAGGGAAAAAAGGCUAGGUUUAUAAAAACACAAAUCCUUAGAUAUUGACUUAUAAAAUAUCUGUAAUGUGGCAUUUAAACCCUUUCUAGGUUCAUGAAAGGUUUGCUGCUUGAAAACAAUGUUUCCGAUGUUUGAGUCAAAACCAUAAUCUCUUAAGACCGUUACUGCAGGAUUUAUAAUGUUGUUUACCGACCUUGAAGAUUUCUGGUGAAAAUGUUGAUGACACUUAGAGGGCUUCCUUUGUUCAGCUCUUCCCAGGGUGCAUCGCUGCUCUCCCGUUGUGGCGGGCUCAGGGCUGAGCUCAUGGCCGCCUCUCUUUGAAACUCCAGCAGCCGCUGGUUUCCCCUUUUCUGACCGGCAUAGCGGUCUGCUGCCUUCAGAUAGUCGGGUUUGGGCACAUUCCUGCUGGGGUGUCGCGGAGGGAACAUUUCCUCGUCAGAAAAACUCCCUUCACUUAGAAGAGGCCCCUCACUGAUGGAGCCGGCACUGGAAUCAUGAACAUUUGUUGGAAUCUCCUGGUUGUUAGAUGCAGUUUGAGGUCCUACAUUGUUUGUCGUUUCCUCCAUUUCCAGACCACCAACGGUUCUCCUCUGUUUUUGUCUGUAACUGUUAAAGGCCGACUCUUCUACAUCAGCAGAACGUCUGUGCACAUUUGUCAAACCAUUGUGGGUUAUUUCUUUAUUUUCCCUAAAGUCAUGCAGAUUCCCAACUCCUGGAAGAACGUUGUCACUGUACGACCUAUGACCUGGGCUUGAUAAAAUCCUCUGGGUCCUCGGAGAUGCGGGGUUCUCUGAAGAGUAAGGAACCGUUCCUUUCCAGCCCCGAAAUUCCACAUUAGAAGCUCCGGGGGCCAAAAUGGCAUCAACAUUUAAUGAGGUCGUGGCGCCGUAGUUGAUCCCCUGCCCGGCAAGCUUCCGUGCUUCACUUUCAAUACGGCUGGAGAGGGAAGCUGCCGUGGCCUUUAAGGCUUCAAUGCGUGACAUUUUGGACGGCGAUUUGGUGGAAGAGGCUGCUGCGGCUGGCGGUGUGGUGUGCUUCAUGUUACUAGCAGCUACUGCUGCCUCCAGCCUUAAGAGCUGAGAGAGGAGAUGCUCGUUUGAAGCAGCGGGGGCGGGGCUGUCGGGACCAGUCACACGUUGAACUGCCGCAUUUAAAGGGUGUGGUUGGGGGAAAGUGGAAACUCCUGCCUCAAGAUCAUUCCUGAAAAAAAUGAAAUGAAAAAAUCCAAACAACCUUCACUAUUAAAAUCAGAAUUUUUCAGGUAAAAAAGUCAAACUUGUGAACAAAAGAUUGUUUAGCAAAGGUGAGGAUUGAAAUACCUAAAUAAACGAGGUGGUGGUAAAUCAUUUAAAGACUUGUCACUGCUUGAGGGGCUCUGUAGAGCUUCUAGUCUUUUGUUCUCCUUGUCAGACUCUCCUGAAGGCUGGUACAUGGGCAUCUGUAAAAGAAUCAUCUGUUCAAGGAAAUUGUGUUUAUCUAAGCAAUCCAAUUAUGUACAUGUUACUUUAUGAAUCUCUUCAAUGUGUUUAAUAAAUAUAACCAUGCACCCUUUCCAAUCCCAUUUGAGUGGGGCCAUCAUCUUGUGAGGCCUCCUCUCCCAGCUGAGCCUCCUCCAGCAUCAGUUUGGUGUAGGUCUCCUGUAAUCGCUUUUGAACAGGAGCCACAGAUGCCUCUGCUGAAAGCGUUUUAGCCACUUCUCUUUGCUUUUCGUACAGCGCCUUCAACCUCUGAUUUUUUCUCUCCGCUUCCUCCAUUUGUGCCCUUUUCUGCGCCGCCUGUCGCUUCUUCCUCUCCUCUUGCUGUCGUGCAAUAUACUGUCGAACUGCAUCUGCGUCAUAAUGCCGCUUCUUGUGGCCUCUGUCAGUGAUGCUGGUGCUGUCUGGCCGUCGUGUAACAGGGCUGGCGCUGCGGCUCGUCCUCGGGCAGGGAUUUGCUGCAACAGGAGCACCCCAGGCAGAAACGGGUGUCCUAGUUUGAGAUAGUCCCCCUCUCCUGUUACUAGUUCUACCUCGGGAGCUUUUACGUGCUCUCUGUUCCUUCUCUGAAGCUUUGCAAUCCAGCUGGAGAUCAUCAAGUAUGCCCUGGAUGUCAGGUGACAACAGGCUAGUGUUCACACACAGAGGCGUCCCGUCCAGAGUGUCCUCCUGGGUCCUGGGUUCACUUUGAUAUCCUCUUUGUGGGCGUUGUGUGCUGUUUUGGGGAGAGCUCCUUCUUGGUUCUAAAUGUGCCUCAGAGUGAUGAUGGGAAGCUGGUGAACAAGCCAGACAAGACCACGGUUAAAGAAAAAAAGGAGCCCAGAACCAGAGAAAAACGCUGUCUGCUUUAACAAGUAAACCUUUCCACCAGUAAAGUGCCUCCAUAUUCACCAAGCAUCUACAUUUAGAAUUAAAGAACAAGGGUACAGAGUUAAUGCAAUUCUUAAAAUCUCUCUUUCUCUGGUAAUAACGGCAGAAAACACCCUCUGUCACAGCUCGGGGUGGAGAUCAAUUGAUGCUAUGAGAGCUAUGUGGAGACUUUCUUAGACUUUAAAUGUAUGAUUUCAGUGCAGUAUCUAUUCCAGACAUGUCUGCAGUGAGCUUCAAUGCAUUUCUCUGCUCAUAUCCGCAGUAGAUGCACAUUGCAUUGGAGGCUGUCUGUAAAGAUCAAGUCACACUGUGCAUUCAAACCUAACAAAACAGUCCAUUUUAAUUCCUUCUGCUCAGUAGUGACUGUUGGAGAUGCAGCUAGCAACGAGGAAUGAGUUUAUAACAAAACGUGAAGAGCUCUGGAGUCCUUCAGUGUGUGCAUUUACUAUUAUAAACACUGUUUCUUUAAUCUAUAUUAUUAAGCACCUUAAAUUAACAAGAACUCAUAGUACCUCACAUUUUUCAUGAGGUUAUAUUUUUUAUAAUACUCAGAAACCAAAAAUAAAAUGUUAUACAGUGGUCCUUUGUUAGGUCGUGAUUCAUCUGUCGUGUUUUUUAUUUUAUUUUUCCGGUUCACUGAUUGGCUGAAGAUCGAUCCAUGUCCCCAGUCUGACACACCUGCAGAAAUCUUUGAUCGUAGAUCUUCGUUUUUAUUCUAUAACACUGGACUUCUAAGUGUAAAAAUGUUGGUGUCCGUCUGAGAAAAUGAUAUAAAGUGUGUAGUGAGGGGUUUACAGCCUUAAAACAUCUGUAAUCAUACUUGGCAGUGUAUUUUUUGUAGCCGCAUCUCCUACAAUAAAGGAGGAAACACUGUAUUUCAACAGCACUGAAGUCUAUCAAAGAACACAAACCUGAAUCUAGAUUGUUUUUUCAUUAUAAAAAACAAUCUAGCGACGUAAGACAGAAUCCUGAGAAUUUGAAACAUUUAGAUUAAAUCUUAAACUAAGGCUUUGUCAGAUUCAGUUGAAUUUUGAAUGUUGCUUUUAAUCGUUUGUUAUCUCUCAUAAUAUUUUCCUUCUGCAUCUCUACAUGCUUGUAUGGCUGCUCAUGGUGCGGAGCAGCCAUGGAGGGAGGGGUCAUGGAUUCCUCAGCCUCACCUGUUCCACUCCGUCUGUCAGCUGAACUGCUGGGGGCCUCUUCUCUGGGCCACUUGGGAACUGGACCCAGUACCAUCUUUACCAGCUUCUGACCCUCCCGCCACGACGCUGGACUAAUUACUACAAAAAAGAAACAAAACGUAAGAAGUAGAAACUUAAAGCAACCUUAUUAUUUAUUUUAAUUCAAUGUAGACUUGCUGGGAUGUUGAGUUUCUGCAAAGAUAUGUUCUGAAAUUUAAAAUAAUCUUACUCUAAAAUACGUCUAUGAAGACUCUCAUUCCUCCAGGUGGAUUCCAUCAUAGUAGUAGGUUUAGGGGCCGUCAUCUGGACUUACCGUAGUUUUUAAGGUUAGAAGACGUUUCACCUCUUUAGAAUUGACAAAGCCUCUUGGA
ensembl:lncRNA